rnacentral:lncRNA from 1 species
CCUUCCUCUCCUCUUCCCCUUAAAGCGGCAACCAAUCCUUCCAGGAGCGAGAGGUGGCCCCACGCUAGGUCCAGGACUUUGGGCGGGGAGGAAGCUGGGUUGGCGGCGUCCGUGCGGGGGCGUCGGAGCGGGAGGGCCAGAGACCAAAUCAAGGGCCCGGAGGUAACUGUGAGUCCAGGGCUCUGGUGGGAGUUGGGUGAUCGCCUAGUCCCUUUGAUUGGACUGUGUCCGCUCUCCUGGAAACUUGAGACAGACCCCCACCGUGAUACAGGAAAGAGAAGCCCAGCCAGGGCUGGAGAGGUUGAAGAAGGAGCGAGAAGCUGAGAAGUGGGAGUCUGGCCAUCUGGGAGGGACUGGGAAUACUUUCCACCCUGAGCAACGCUUCCUGGCAACGUCUGCCCACAGAGGGCUUGCCUGGUGUCCUCCCUUCCUCAGCCAUAGAGUCCUUUCCAAGGCUCACUACAUGUAAAGCAGCUGGCAUCUCCUUACAAGGACUCCUAGGCGACGUUACGACCCCUAAGUACAGAAGAGCAAAUAGGAUUCAGAGAACUUAUGUGAAUGCCUCAAGUUGGCACAGCUCUACAGUGGAACAACCAGGUCCCAACCUGGGGCAGGACAUUUCCAGCUCAUCCCAGUUUGCGCCACCCUCACUGGAGGUGCUCGGAGGUUCUGGACUAUUAGUGUAAGAGUGAUACCUGCAUACACAUGCCAUUCUCUCUGAAUUUUUAAAACAAAGAAGCAUGUAUGAAUAGAAAAUGAAUCACCUUUCCUUUAUCAUUCUCUUUAUUCUGAAUGGAUUUGAGGACCAGGUGAGUUCUCAGACAGGUGAGUGGGAUUUGAACACAGUUGGAUUGGCUAGCAUUGCAUACAUAAUGGUGUUUGUGACUAUUGUGCC